GACGAACGCUGGCGGCGUGCCUAAUACAUGCAAGUCGAACGCAGUGGGGACGGGUGAGUAACACGUGGGUAACCUCCCAUCAGAGGGGAUAACACUUGGAAACAGGUGCUAAACCGAUACUGAUGGAUGGACCCGCGGUGCAUUAGCUAGUUGGUGAGGUAACGGCUCACCAAGGCCACGAUGCAUAGCCGGCCUGAGAGGAUGAUCGGCCACACUGGGACUGAGGCACGGCCCAGACUCCUACGGGAGGCAGCAGGAGGGAAUCUUGGACAAUGGACGAAAGUCUGACAGAGCAACGCCGCGUGGAUGAAGAAGGUUUUCGGGUCGUAAAGCACUGUUGGUAGGGAGGCGUUAUCUAACCAGAAAGCCACGGCUAACUCCGUGCCAGCCGCCGCGGUAAUAC
rnacentral:rRNA from 1 species